AAUGCCAGAGUCAUCAAAGCAGUCUCAGUUUUUAAGUCUUCCAGCCUAUCACCCUAUAAGCUAAGAGGCAGUUGAGGCUCUGAGGCACACUUUCUAAAUAACAGGGUAAAUGGCAAAACAGGAGCCUCCCCAGAGUGAAGACCUCAAGGUCCAGGACAGGAAACCAUUACCAAAGGAGGAGCCUUGGUUGUGCUGCUCUGGUCCAGACACCAACUGUGCAGCCCCUAUGACGAGGACAAAGUUUGCAUCCAGCAGCAUCUUACUGCCCACGAGCACCUCCCCAGAUGAGUCUGCAUGGUGAGGACCAUGAGACGGGGCUGUCAAUUCAUCCAUCGUGUUCCACCCUAAGGCGGGUGGAAGAGCAGGAGGAGGCUGAGGGGGUCUUGCUCUGUUGCCCAGUGGAGUGCUGAAGAAUGAACACGGCUCACUGCAGCCUCAACCUCCCACGCUCAAGCAAUCCUCUCAAAGUAGCUGGGACUACAGAUGCACACCACCACAUCCAGGUAAUUUUUGUAUUUUUUGUAGAGACAGGGUUUUACCAUGUUGCCCAGGCUGGUCUAGAACUCCUGAGCUCAAGUGAUCUGCUUGCCUCAGCCUCCCAAAAUGUUGGGAUUACAAGCAUGAGCCACUGUGCCUGGCCUAUUUAUUUCUUUAUUUUUAAUUUUUUUCACCUUUAUACUUUGUCAAGGCAUAUUUGACAAAUAAAAAUUGUUUAUAUUUAA